UAAUGUUGUGUCAGGAUGUAUGGAGGAGGAUGAGAUGGGCAGAUCAAUAGCCACCUCCCUUCCCCCUGCCCACACCCUUCUGAAACACGCAAGCAGUAUCAGACGCAGCUCUCGACUCGCCAAUAGAGAGACACCGGCACGUGCAGCUUCUGGAACCAGCACACCCUGCUCUUAAGCUCUCUUUCUCCACUUACAGCCAUCAUGUCUGACAAACCCAACAUGAGGGAAAUCUCCAGCUUUGAUAAGACUAAGCUGAAGAAGACAGAGACCAGAGUGAAGAACCCAUUGCCAACCAAAGAAACAAUCGAUCAAGAGAGGAAGCGAGAGUCAUCGCAUUGACCAGAGGAAGAGAAGAGUUUCAGACAAGCUACUUUAAUUUGAUUAUCUGACCUGUCUGCCAAGAACCACCACUAUAACAAGACCUAGACUUAUCACACUGGUGCUCAACAAAAUUGAAAAAUACUAGGAUGGGCUGUUAGACUCAGAGCCAGAGGAGCAGGAGUUUUUCAAACACUUAUGGCUCAAUUUGUUUUUUAUGUCUCUCUGGCUACAUUUACACAGGCAGCCCAAUUCAAAUCUUAUUUUCACCAAUCAGAUCAGCUCUGAAAAAUACGUGUUGCUGCCAGUGUAAACACCAUCUUAGUCUGAGUAAUAAAAAUGACAUUGAAAAAAAAA